GACCCCCUGGAGUCGACUCCAUUUCCCAAGAAAAGAUGUCAACAGCGCGACUUGUAACAAUUAUAAGGCCGAGGAGGGUUAUUUGAACACACACCAUUCAAUUAUUAUAAAUGAAAGUCACGUUUUUUAACCGCUCCGGUCUCGUCCCAGCGGAAGUGACGCUAGCACGUCAUCAGAAUACAACAGAUCAACACGACGAGAGAGACAUUCUGCCGCUAGACAAAGGUCACCGAGCAGCGACGAAGUUUGCAUUUUCGGUAGAGGUCCAGGGAGCCACGAGGGCGGUGCUAAAGAGACGCGGGUUGCUGACCCCCGGCCUACACCCUGGACUGGCCGCCAGUUCAUCACAGGACACAUGAACAAGCCUUCGCCCUCAAAUCAGAGAAAAACAACAACACCAGAAAUGUGUCCCGUGAAAAACCGUCCGACCAGAACUCUAAUAACUAAAGUUCCUUGGGUGAAUAAUGAAAUGGCAACAGCAGAGGAUGGAUGUCCCAUAACAAGAAGGUGGAGAAAAAGAAGAAGCUUAUCGACUACGGUGUCGGCACGGACUACAAAGGCGGACCUGCACAAAUUUUCAGGUACCAGAAGGUAAGAAAAGUUUCUUUUGCAUAAUAUUGCGAAACAAAACACCAGAAAAUAUGUCUUACCUUAUACACACACCAUAAUAAUACUCCUAUGUUGAAGCACAGUACAAUCCAUCAAGCGGUGCAGUUUCAUAGCUGACCAAAGUCCUACUAAAACAUUUUGAUAGAUUUUUGAGCGCCGUGUGUAAUGUUCUAUAUUUUCAAGGGAGCAUAUACAAUGUUGGUGUUGUUUACUUGAGUCAUAUUGCGGUCUACACGAAAUCAAAUCAAAUCAAUAAUGGAGCAGCAUCUCCUCAUCCGGAAACAACCACACCGGAAAUGUGUCCCGUGAAAAACCGUUCAACCGGAACUCUCUAAUAACUAAACUUCC